rnacentral:rRNA from 1 species
GAAAGAUUCAUCGGAAGAGGAUGGGCAUGCGGCGCAUUAGCUGGACGGCGGGGUAACGGCCCACCGUGGCGACGAUGCGUAGGGGUUCUGAGAGGAAGGUCCCCCACACUGGUACUGAGACACGGACCAGACUCCUACGGGAGGCAGCAGUGAGGAAUAUUGGUCAAUGGGAGAGAUCCUGAACCAGCCAAGCCGCGUGAGGGAAGACGGCCCUAUGGGUUGUAAACCUCUUUUGUCGGAGAACAAAACCCGGGACGAGUCCCGGACUGCGUGUAUCCGAAGAAAAAGCAUCGGCUAACUCCGUGCCAGCAGCCGCGGUAAUACGGAGGAUGCGAGCGUUAUCCGGAUUUAUUGGGUUUAAAGGGUGCGUAGGCGGUCUGUUAAGUCAGCGGUAAAAUUGCGGGGCUCAACCCCGUCGAGCCGUUGAAACUGGCAGACUUGAGUUGGCGAGAAGUACGCGGAAUGCGCGGUGUAGCGGUGAAAUGCAUAGAUAUCGCGCAGAACUCCGAUUGCGAAGGCAGCGUACCGGCGCCAGACUGACGCUGAGGCACGAAAGCGUGGGGAUCGAACAGGAUUAGAUACCCUGGUAGCCCACGCAGUAAACGAUGAAUGCUGGUUGUCCGGGUCGAAUGAGACCUGG